UACGUAGGUGGCAAGCGUUGUCCGGAAUUAUUGGGCGUAAAGAGCUCGUAGGCGGUUUGUCGCGUCUGUCGUGAAAGCUUGGGGCUUAACCCCAAGUCUGCGGUGGAUACGGGCAGACUAGAGGCAGGUAGGGGAGAACGGAAUUCCCGGUGUAGCGGUGAAAUGUGUAGAGAUCGGGAGGAACACCGGUGGCGAAGGCGGGUCUCUGGGCAAUUCCUGACGCUGAGGCGCGAAAGCGUGGGGAGCAAACGGG
rnacentral:rRNA from 1 species